rnacentral:rRNA from 1 species
GACGAACGCUGGCGGCGUGCUUAACACAUGCAAGUCGUACGGUAAGGCCCUUUCGGGGGUACACGAGUGGCGAACGGGUGAGUAACACGUGAGUAACCUGCCCACAACUUUGGGAUAACGCUAGGAAACUGGUGCUAAUACUGGAUAUGUGCUCCUGCUGCAUGGUGGGGGUUGGAAAGCUCCGGCGGUUGUGGAUGGACUCGCGGCCUAUCAGCUUGUUGGUGGGGUAGUGGCCUACCAAGGCGGCGACGGGUAGCCGGCCUGAGAGGGUGACCGGCCACAGUGGGACUGAGAUACGGCCCAGACUCCUACGGGAGGCAGCAGGGGGGAAUAUUUCACAAGGGGCGCAAGCCGGAUGCAGCAACGCCGCGGGCGGGAUGACGGCCUUCGGGUUGUAAACCGCUUUCAGCAGGGACGAAGCUUUUUGUGACGGUACCUGCAGAAGAAGCACCGGCUAACUACGUG